rnacentral:rRNA from 1 species
UUGCUUUUAAAUCUUAGCGGCGGACGGGUGAGUAACACGUGGGCAACCUGCCUAUGAGACUGGGAUAACUCCGGGAAACCGGGGCUAAUACCGGAUAAUUCUUUUCUACUCAUGUAGAAAAGCUGAAAGAUGGUUUCGGCUAUCACUCAUAGAUGGGCCCGCGGCGCAUUAGCUAGUUGGUGAGGUAAUGGCUCACCAAGGCGACGAUGCGUAGCCGACCUGAGAGGGUGAUCGGCCACACUGGGACUGAGACACGGCCCAGACUCCUACGGGAGGCAGCAGUAGGGAAUCUUCCGCAAUGGACGAAAGUCUGACGGAGCAACGCCGCGUGAGUGAUGAAGGUUUUCGGAUCGUAAAACUCUGUUGUUAGGGAAGAACAAGUACCGGAGUAACUGCCGGUACCUUGACGGUACCUAACCAGAAAGCCACGGCUAACUACGUGCCAGCAGCCGCGGUAAUACGUAGGUGGCAAGCGUUGUCCGGAAUUAUUGGGCGUAAAGCGCGCGCAGGUGGUCUCUUAAGUCUGAUGUGAAAGCCCCCGGCUCAACCGGGGAGGGUCAUUGGAAACUGGGAGACUUGAGUGCAGGAGAGAAGAGUGGAAUUCCACGUGUAGCGGUGAAAUGCGUAGAGAUGUGGAGGAACACCAGUGGCGAAGGCGACUCUUUGGCCUGUAACUGACACUGAGGCGC